UGGACUCUGUUCUUCUUGAACAUACCCUCUCGCGUCUCGGCCGCCCGGCUGGUGGGGAUCAACCCGUUUGCCGCCGCCGUCGGCGGCGCUGCUGGUGACGGCCUGAAGAGGGAGCGGAGAUUUGAUUUGUGAUUUCGGCUUGUGCGGCGGCGAUGGGGGUGCUGUCGCGGCCGGAGGAGGUGCCGGCGCUGGUCAGGCUCAAGCUGGCGGCGGGGCGGAUCAGGCGCGAGAUCCCGCCCCAGGAGCACUGGGCCUUCGCCUACGACAUGCUCCAGCGGGUCUCCCGCAGCUUCGCGCUCGUCAUCCAGCAGCUCGGACCAGACCUCCGCAAUGCCGUGUGCGUCUUCUACCUCGUGCUCCGGGCCCUGGACACCGUCGAGGACGACACCGCCAUCCCUAACGAGGUCAAGCUGCCCAUCCUUCGGGAUUUCUACCGCCACAUCUACAACCCGGACUGGCUCUUUUCAUGUGGAGCAAACGACUACAGAGUGCUCAUGGAUUAUUUUAGACAAGUCUCCACUGCUUUCUUGGAGCUAGGCGAAGGUAUUUCUUCCAGGUGGUAUAAAUGACACACCCUCUCAUGUGGACUAUAAACAUUUGCUAUAGAUCACCUUCAAUAACUUUUCUCUACAUGCACAGUCGAUAUGUGUUCAGUCCAACCCCAUGGCAUCAGGGAGGUCGAGUUUGUCGCGAGCAGCAGUACAUGGUUGUCGGCUUCCACUUUCUUCCACCUAGGUGCUUUCGCUCGGUGAUACAAGGCUUGUAAUGUUCUCCCUUGUGAGCUCUCUCUCUCUCUUUCACUGUCCGUGUUCAUGUUUAGUACUGCUUCAAUUUCUUUGUGAUGCAAAUGUUGCUGGCGAACAUACUUUGUGUAGAUAAAACUUACAAAAAAGCACUUUUUCUGGUCGCGAAAUUUUCCGAAUUUGAUCUGGUCUAGCAGUUCAACAUGUAUUGUAUCAUCAAAACAACUCAUAUGCAUUUUAUAUAUGCAACAACCUAUACGGUUCAGUACAUCAGUUCAUAAUAAACAAAAACAAUUGAACAGAUCAGUGUCUUGGUGCAUGAUCGAAGGUGCAUAUGGAAGCAUCCCCGUGUCAAUUGUAGUACACAUCUUUUUAAUACAAAUGUUUUAAAAGUUUCUUUUUGAACUUCUCCCAAUUAAUAUACCUGAACUUGAUUAUCUUUCUAACAUGUACUUAUACCAGCUUCAUUAGAUUUUGUGUUAGUGCUUGUAACACAAUCAGUUCAGAUCUCGAUAGACCAUAAGUUCAAGUUCACUAGUAUUUGUAAAUGCUGGUAGCAGUACUAGUAUUUACAAAUUUGUAACCUAAGAACUAAGCUUGCAUCUUGUUACUUCUAUGGAAGCAUUGACCUCGUAAUUUUAUUGGACCAACCACUAACAUAAGAAUUAGACAUGGUGCUCAGUGUAUUCUCUCAAUCUUGGUUGUUCUUACAGUGCUUAUAAUCUUGACAUCUUUGAUGAAUCCAGCCCGAACUGAAGCAUGUCGGCAAGCCGGGCCUCAAAAGGCCCUUCUCCCGCUACUGUCUCGAUCUUGAACUGAUGUUGUUGUCAUCUGUCUACCUCCUUCCUUGGUGAGCCCAUGUUCUUCUGCUCUUGACGCUCGAGCCGCCUGCACUUCUUUUCUCAGUUCAAAAAUUCCCAAAGCAUCAGUACUAUGUAUCAGGAUACACCAUGUUAGUUCUGCAGAUUUCCAUUAUGCUUGUAUGUCCUCCUGUACUGCAAGUUCAUUAGCUGAAGUUUAGAAUCGAGAGACUGCAAGUUCAUUAAAAUUGAAAAACAUUCAACUAAAUUCCUCAUGUACUGUAUUAUUACCACUGUUCUGAAAAUGACAGUUGGGCAGGAGCAAAA